ACCACGACCAGCAGAAGGGUGAGCUCUGUGACAGAAAUGGGUUCCGCAGUCUUCAUUCUGCCGCUCGCACGAUUCCGCACGGACACAACUCCCUGGCUGCUACACAGUCUGUGCCGGUGGCUAGAUUCCCAUGUCAGCAGCCCCAGCUCCAGUGUGCUGUUCCUUGUGUGUCCACCAGGUGACACUGUCCUGCAGGAUCACUUGCCAGGCAAAAAAUGUCUCCUUCCUGUGCCAAUGAUCACUGAGUCAGCAACAUGAGUCUGGAUGACUCUUUGUACUGAUACUCUGCCUCCCUCUCCUGGCUCAGGAGUGAACUGCUCCUCAUGACGAAUCA